GGUUAAGCGACUAAGCGUACACGGUGGAUGCCCUGGCAGUCAGAGGCGAUGAAGGACGUGCUAAUCUGCGAUAAGCGUCGGUAAGGUGAUAUGAACCGUUAUAACCGGCGAUUUCCGAAUGGGGAAACCCAGUGUGUUUCGACACACUAUCAUUAACUGAAUCCAUAGGUUAAUGAGGCGAACCGGGGGAACUGAAACAUCUAAGUACCCCGAGGAAAAGAAAUCAACCGAGAUUCCCCCAGUAGCGGCGAGCGAACGGGGAGCAGCCCAGAGCCUGAAUCAGUGUGUGUGUUAGUGGAAGCGUCUGGAAAGGCGCGCGAUACAGGGUGACAGCCCCGUACACAAAAAUGCACAUGCUGUGAGCUCGAUGAGUAGGGCGGGACACGUGGUAUCCUGUCUGAAUAUGGGGGGACCAUCCUCCAAGGCUAAAUACUCCUGACUGACCGAUAGUGAACCAGUACCGUGAGGGAAAGGCGAAAAGAACCCCGGCGAGGGGAGUGAAAAAGAACCUGAAACCGUGUACGUACAAGCAGUGGGAGCACGCUUAGGCGUGUGACUGCGUACCUUUUGUAUAAUGGGUCAGCGACUUAUAUUCUGUAGCAAGGUUAACCGAAUAGGGGAGCCGAAGGGAAACCGAGUCUUAACUGGGCGUUAAGUUGCAGGGUAUAGACCCGAAACCCGGUGAUCUAGCCAUGGGCAGGUUGAAGGUUGGGUAACACUAACUGGAGGACCGAACCGACUAAUGUUGAAAAAUUAGCGGAUGACUUGUGGCUGGGGGUGAAAGGCCAAUCAAACCGGGAGAUAGCUGGUUCUCCCCGAAAGCUAUUUAGGUAGCGCCUCGUGAAUUCAUCUCCGGGGGUAGAGCACUGUUUCGGCAAGGGGGUCAUCCCGACUUACCAACCCGAUGCAAACUGCGAAUACCGGAGAAUGUUAUCACGGGAGACACACGGCGGGUGCUAACGUCCGUCGUGAAGAGGGAAACAACCCAGACCGCCAGCUAAGGUCCCAAAGUCAUGGUUAAGUGGGAAACGAUGUGGGAAGGCCCAGACAGCCAGGAUGUUGGCUUAGAAGCAGCCAUCAUUUAAAGAAAGCGUAAUAGCUCACUGGUCGAGUCGGCCUGCGCGGAAGAUGUAACGGGGCUAAACCAUGCACCGAAGCUGCGGCAGCGACGCUUAUGCGUUGUUGGGUAGGGGAGCGUUCUGUAAGCCUGUGAAGGUGUACUGUGAGGUAUGCUGGAGGUAUCAGAAGUGCGAAUGCUGACAUAAGUAACGAUAAAGCGGGUGAAAAGCCCGCUCGCCGGAAGACCAAGGGUUCCUGUCCAACGUUAAUCGGGGCAGGGUGAGUCGACCCCUAAGGCGAGGCCGAAAGGCGUAGUCGAUGGGAAACAGGUUAAUAUUCCUGUACUUGGUGUUACUGCGAAGGGGGGACGGAGAAGGCUAUGUUGGCCGGGCGACGGUUGUCCCGGUUUAAGCGUGUAGGCUGGUUUUCCAGGCAAAUCCGGAAAAUCAAGGCUGAGGCGUGAUGACGAGGCACUACGGUGCUGAAGCAACAAAUGCCCUGCUUCCAGGAAAAGCCUCUAAGCAUCAGGUAACAUCAAAUCGUACCCCAAACCGACACAGGUGGUCAGGUAGAGAAUACCAAGGCGCUUGAGAGAACUCGGGUGAAGGAACUAGGCAAAAUGGUGCCGUAACUUCGGGAGAAGGCACGCUGAUAUGUAGGUGAAGUCCCUCGCGGAUGGAGCUGAAAUCAGUCGAAGAUACCAGCUGGCUGCAACUGUUUAUUAAAAACACAGCACUGUGCAAACACGAAAGUGGACGUAUACGGUGUGACGCCUGCCCGGUGCCGGAAGGUUAAUUGAUGGGGUUAGCGCAAGCGAAGCUCUUGAUCGAAGCCCCGGUAAACGGCGGCCGUAACUAUAACGGUCCUAAGGUAGCGAAAUUCCUUGUCGGGUAAGUUCCGACCUGCACGAAUGGCGUAAUGAUGGCCAGGCUGUCUCCACCCGAGACUCAGUGAAAUUGAACUCGCUGUGAAGAUGCAGUGUACCCGCGGCAAGACGGAAAGACCCCGUGAACCUUUACUAUAGCUUGACACUGAACAUUGAGCCUUGAUGUGUAGGAUAGGUGGGAGGCUUAGAAGUGUGGACGCCAGUCUGCAUGGAGCCGACCUUGAAAUACCACCCUUUAAUGUUUGAUGUUCUAACGUUGACCCGUAAUCCGGGUUGCGGACAGUGUCUGGUGGGUAGUUUGACUGGGGCGGUCUCCUCCUAAAGAGUAACGGAGGAGCACGAAGGUUGGCUAAUCCUGGUCGGACAUCAGGAGGUUAGUGCAAUGGCAUAAGCCAGCUUGACUGCGAGCGUGACGGCGCGAGCAGGUGCGAAAGCAGGUCAUAGUGAUCCGGUGGUUCUGAAUGGAAGGGCCAUCGCUCAACGGAUAAAAGGUACUCCGGGGAUAACAGGCUGAUACCGCCCAAGAGUUCAUAUCGACGGCGGUGUUUGGCACCUCGAUGUCGGCUCAUCACAUCCUGGGGCUGAAGUAGGUCCCAAGGGUAUGGCUGUUCGCCAUUUAAAGUGGUACGCGAGCUGGGUUUAGAACGUCGUGAGACAGUUCGGUCCCUAUCUGCCGUGGGCGCUGGAGAACUGAGGGGGGCUGCUCCUAGUACGAGAGGACCGGAGUGGACGCAUCACUGGUGUUCGGGUUGUCAUGCCAAUGGCACUGCCCGGUAGCUAAAUGCGGAAGAGAUAAGUGCUGAAAGCAUCUAAGCACGAAACUUGCCCCGAGAUGAGUUCUCCCUGACUCCUUGAGAGUCCUGAAGGAACGUUGAAGACGACGACGUUGAUAGGCCGGGUGUGUAAGCGCAGCGAUGCGUUGAGCUAACCGGUACUAAUGAACCGUGAGGCUUAACCUU
rnacentral:rRNA from 1 species